rnacentral:rRNA from 1 species
UACGGAGGAUCCAAGCGUUAUCCGGAUUUAUUGGGUUUAAAGGGUGCGUAGGUUGACUUAUAAGUCAGUGGUGAAAGCCUGUAGCUUAACUACAGAAUGGCCAUUGAUACUGUAAGUCUUGAGUACAUUUGAGGUGGGCGGAAUGUGUCAUGUAGCGGUGAAAUGCUUAGAUAUGACACAGAACACCAAUUGCGAAGGCAGCUCGCUAAACUGUAACUGACACUGAGGCACGAAAGCGUGGGGAUCAAACAGG